rnacentral:rRNA from 1 species
UGCGUAGGUGGUUUCUUAAGUCAGAGGUGAAAGGCUACGGCUCAACCGUAGUAAGCCUUUGAAACUGGGAAACUUGAGUGCAGGAGAGGAGAGUGGAAUUCCUAGUGUAGCGGUGAAAUGCGUAGAUAUUAGGAGGAACACCAGUUGCGAAGGCGGCUCUCUGGACUGUAACUGACACUGGGGCGCGAAAGCGUGGGGAGCAAACA